rnacentral:rRNA from 1 species
UAACUUCGUGCCAGCAGCCGCGGUAAUACGAAGGGUGCAAGCGUUACUCGGAAUUACUGGGCGUAAAGCGUGCGUAGGUGGUCGUUUAAGUCCGUUGUGAAAGCCCUGGGCUCAACCUGGGAACUGCAGUGGAUACUGGGCGACUAGAGUGUGGUAGAGGGUAGCGGAAUUCCUGGUGUAGCAGUGAAAUGCGUAGAGAUCAGGAGGAACAUCCAUGGCGAAGGCAGCUACCUGGACCAACACUGACACUGAGGCACGAAAGCGUGGGGAGCAAACAGGAUUAGAUACCCUGGUAGUCCAC